CCUACGGGGAGCAGCAGUAGGGAAUCUUCCACAAUGGACGAAAGUCUGAUGGAGCACCGCCGCGUGAGUGAAGAAGGGUUUCGGCUCGUAAAGCUCUGUUGGUAGUGAAGAAAGAUAGAGGUAGUAACUGGCAUUUAUUUAACAGUAAUUACUUAUAAAGUCACGGCUAACUACGUUCCAACAGCCGCGGUAAUACGUAGGUGGCAAGCGUUGUCCGGAUUUAUUGGGCGUAAAGCGAGUGCAGGCGGUUCAAUCAGGCUAAUGUGAAAGCCUUCGGCUCAACCGGAGAAUUGCAUCAGAAACGGUUGAACUUGAGUGCAGAAGAGGAGAGUGGAACUCCAUGUGUAGCGGUGGAAUGCGUAGAGAUAUGGAAGAACACCAGUGGCGAAGGCGGCUCUCUGGUCUGCAACUGACGCUGAGGCUCGAAAGCAUGGGUAGCGAACAGGAUUAGAUACCCCUGUAGUC
rnacentral:rRNA from 1 species